UCCCUGGUGGACCAAUGGUUAAGAUUUUGCACUUUUACUGCAGGGGACACAGGUUUGAUUCCUGGUCAGGGAA
rnacentral:tRNA from 1 species